CUACCUACCUACCUACAUACAUACAUACAUACAUACAUACAUACAUACAUACAUACAUACAUACAUACAUACAUACAUACACAUUUGCAUUCCUAAUGAAAUUAAAACAACUGAAAACACAAAACAAAAACCUAUAUCUAAAUCGGAAGUUUGAAUGACAAUGGGUAGAUAAUAGAUGUGUAAUUGAGCUGUUUUAGAGAUGUUGCAGGAAACAAUGCUGCCUGUUAGAGAUAACCGGAGAUAACCAGAAGUUACUGACAGAGGAAUAACAAUAUUGGUGCAUCUAGCCUGGAGAGGAAAGUUUCAAGAGGCAAAUGUCCUAGACACACACACACACACUGAGAUAUUAAAUAAAUGACAUGCAUUAAUGCUAACUAGAGAGACACUCCAGAAUUUCACCAUUACAAUAAUAUAUGGUCUAGCCGAAUGACAACCCGUUUUCUGAGCUAGUCCUGUCAACCAAUGAAUUGAUCCCAUUCAGAAAAAUGAAUAGUUAUGUUUUAGAGGAGUAAAGAAUGACCUGAAUGAUUUCAAUCCAUUUAUUCAGUCAUAUCGCCUACCAUGGCAUUUGCAUCUGUGAUUGCGUCUUUAGUUCAGCGGACACUUGCAUAAUAUAUAUAAUUAACAUUUUAUUGACUCCUCUCAUUAAUGUGUUUGAGAAAAUAAGGACUGCUUGCCUGCCAACUGUCUCGGUCUAAAAAUAACAGAGGGCAUUUAGUUGCUACCUGGUCACUCAGUGCAACUGGACUCUUCUGAAGGGCAUUGUACCACAUCAUGAAUGAUUGAAUACACCAAACAAUUUACAUAAGUCAAGGUGUGAUGCAACAUUCUAAUUGGUUGGACUUGUGAAAUCGAAUAGCUGGUCCUGUUUGGAUAGAUUCCAGCGUGUUGUCCCAGUCCCAUCCGUGGCCGUGCGCAGUGAAUGGAGCAGUACUGUAUAGCGCGGCCGGUCAAAGUGUCCCAGACCUGACUCACCAAUGUUCCACACAGAGAAUGGGUGUGUGGUUGGCAUCAUUAUUCCGCUAAUUAGUGUAAUACCAAAUUAGCUCCAAAUAUAAUUUAUAUUGGUUUAGCUUAUCAUAAUAAAAUAGCCAAAUACAAACUAAUAAUGCAUAUUUUGGGCUGACAUAAAACCAAAACUAUACACAUUUGCAGUUAAAAGAUGUAUAAAAAAUAAUGACAGAUACAUUUAAGGUUUAAGGUUUAAUUGAAUAGUAGCCUAUACACAUUUGCAGUUAAAAGAUGAAUGCCAAGGCAUGAGUGUGGAAGAGAGGCCGCCAUACUGACCUGGAAGGAAAAGCUGCAAGUCCAACAUCUCAAGGGAAUCACUCUGACAGCUUGAUUUAAUAUAGAGACUAUGGGGCGUUUUAAAAGAGACAAAUAAGAGGGCUGGGAGGAGAGAGUAGCAUGCAGCAUUGUAUAUUGAGGAAUAACAAUGAAAACUAAGGGUUAUAGUCAGGUUAAAUGAUGAGCAAUGGCAGUUACCACUGAUGUGAUCCAUGUAGAGAAAUGAGAACGAUUUAUUGACCCUUAAUCGACUACCAAAAGCCUGGGAGGAGUUUACGCAAAUAAUAUGUCCCCUUUACAGAGGAAUUUUCACUAUCACUAGCUACAUCACAUACAGUAGAUGAUAUUAUUGUUCCUGC
rnacentral:lncRNA from 1 species